UACGAAGGGGGCUAGCGUUGCUCGGAAUCACUGGGCGUAAAGCGCACGUAGGCGGAUCUUUAAGUCAGGGGUGAAAUCCUGGAGCUCAACUCCAGAACUGCCUUUGAUACUGAGGAUCUCGAGUCCGGGAGAGGUGAGUGGAACUGCGAGUGUAGAGGUGAAAUUCGUAGAUAUUCGCAAGAACACCAGUGGCGAAGGCGGCUCACUGGCCCGGUACUGACGCUGAGGCGCGAAAGCGUGGGGAGCGAACAGG
rnacentral:rRNA from 1 species